GAUGAACGCUGGCGGCGUGCCUAAUACAUGCAAGUCGAGCGAACGGACGAGAAGCUUGCUUCUCUGAUGUUAGCGGCGGACGGGUGAGUAACACGUGGAUAACCUACCUAUAAGACUGGGAUAACUUCGGGAAACCGGAGCUAAUACCGGAUGAUAUUUUGAACCGCAUGGUUCAAAAGUGAAAGACGGUCUUGCUGUCACUUAUAGAUGGAUCCGCGCUGCAUUAGCUAGUUGGUCAGGUAACGGCUUACCAAGGCAACGAUGCAUAGCCGACGUGAGAGGGUGAUCGGCCACACUGGAACUGAGACACGGUCCAGACUCCUACGGGAGGCAGCAGUAGGGAAUCUUCCGCAAUGGGCGAAAGCCUGACGGAGCAACGCCGCGUGAGUGAUGACGGUCUUCGGAUCGUAAAACUCUGUUAUUAGGGAAGAACAUAUGUGUAAGUAACUGUGCACAUCUUGACGGUACCGAAUCAGAAAGCCACGGCUAACUACGUG
rnacentral:rRNA from 1 species